GACAGAGGGUGCAAACGUUGUUCGGAAUACUGGCGUAAGCGAAGUGUAGGCGGUCUCGUAAGUCGGGUGUGAAAGGCCCUGGGCUCAAACCCCAGGGAAGUGCACCUCGAAAACUGCGAGGCUAGAGUACUGGAGAGGUUGGUGGAAUUCUCGGUGUAGAGGUGAAAUUCGUAAGAUAUCGAGAGGAACACCGGUGGCGAAGGCGGCCAACUGGACAGAUACUGACGCUGAGACUCGAAAGCGUGGGGGAGCAAACAGG
rnacentral:rRNA from 1 species